rnacentral:hammerhead_ribozyme from 1 species
GUCCAGAUGACGAGUCCCAAAUAGGACGAAACGCGCGUCCUGGAU